CAAAUGCUCAUAAAAUAGAUUAAGGGUUUUCAAUUAAUGAAAGCACAUUGGCAUAAUUAAAUUACACUAAUAAUUGGUCCUUCGAGUGGAUUCCACAUACUUGCCUCUGUCGUCCGAAGGGGAAAGCCGAAAACCGUGCACGGACGAGUCUGGACUCGUUAUUUAAAGACCUGGCCUCUGGAUUGAGGAUUAAAAAUAACAGGCCGGUAUACAGAUCUAAGGGCGACAGAGAAGGUGACGGAAUCGAACCGGCAUUGCUUUUCCCAGUCUACAGGACGAAGGUGAAUUACAGGUGAAGUCACUCAAUCCAGUCCCUGAGGCCUGUUGGGGGGGACCAUACCAAGGACUCCUGGUGACAGCUAGCUGAAAGAACUACCCAGAUUCAUAUCACACUGCGGGAGGGUAAGACACAUUGACACUGUCGAACAAUAACAGUGUUCGAGAGGAGAACUGGAAUGAACAGAAUUUUGGGGGCCAUAUCUCAAAUGAAGAAUACCUUACCUGUCAUUUCCUCCCUGUUCUUGUUCAUAGAAGUGAAAAUGUGUCUGACUCUUGCUAAUGAUGUGUUUUCUGGAAGAGGGUGGGGCUUUAUAGGUGAGCUGUCCAUCCUAAGCUGUAUGGUUGGGAGACCUUAUUCCUGACCAUAUUCCUACACCAUGAACCCGAGAAGGCCAGAGGGUAACAUUGACAUAGUUAAACAAGAAGGAAUUAGUAUUAACCAAGCAUAAGAGAUCACUUGAUCUGGAUAAACACGAAAUGAGAGUAGGAUAGGGAAGGAUGUCUCAGUGGAGUUCUAUGUAGACCAAGUGGUGCCUCUGACUCCUUGGCAGUUCAGGACUAAGAGUAGCUAUUAUGGAAGACAUCUAUGCAAGUCCCUGUGUAGUUCAUGAAAACCAGUUAUAGCUCACAUCAUGUGAGAGGCUACAUAAAUCUACAUACCCAGCAUGGAAGGAGAUGGAGUGUAGUGAAAGUAAGGAUUUCAGUUGAUAACCUAGUGCAUUCCAGGUAGAAAAAGUUAGAGCAGCUGAUUGCUCUAUAGUCAAAGCAGAUACGGACUGUGGAGUUGUCCAGAGCCAAGAGCCGGUGUGGAUAGUUAAGACAUGGAAUUAUUCACCUAAGGGAACAGCCUGUAUGGUAAAGCUAUUCAUGGAAGCAGGAAAGCCAGAUAAUAAGUUGUAUGGAUUUGCACUAUUUACGUCCACAUGUUCCUCUGAAAUCUGAGCUUCCUCCUUUCACAGAGGCAAAGGGAGACUGUUUACUGUUUGAUUCAGUAUAGUACUUCUGGGAAAUAUGUGGGGGAAAAUCAGUGUUGCAAUAGGACAGAUAAUGUUACUUCUGAUGCGACUAAUGAGUGAUUUGGCAGGCUGGUUGAGAUCUGGGGAUUUCAGUAAGAUAAGGAGGCCCAGGGCUCACAUCUGGUGGUUGUGUGGGGGGAAUGACGUGAUGGCCGAGUAUUACUGGCUAACUGAACAGGGGUAUGUGUACUGGUACAUUUGAGAAUGUCUUUCAUACUCAUUCAACACCAUGACAUGACGUGGACUAAACGGGAGAAAAGAAGUACUCUUUUGAUGAUAGGGUUUGUAUGAAUAACAUUGUGGUUCCAAGGGUGGCAGAUGAGAUCAAAGCUAUAAAGUAGAUCCUGGCAGGAUUAGAGUCAAGUAUUUUUUGGUGGUCCACUCUCAAUGAGAAUGUGGAUUGGAUCAAUUAUAUCUAUUAAAAAUCCACAGUGCUUCACCAAUUAUAUUUGACAUGUAAUGAAUGACUUGGCAGAAUAGAAUAGUCUUGGAUGUUUGCUGGCUGAAAAGGGUGGGAGUGUAUGGAGGUAAUUUGGACUCCAAGGAUAUAGUUUCAGAUGGAACAGUGACCAAGGCCUUGUCUGGUUUACACACCCUAGUUCACGAGUUGGCAGUAAACUCAGGGGUGGAUACUUCUCUGACCAAUUGCGUUGACAGUGUGUUUGGAAGAUGGAAAAAUGUUAUGAUUACUGUGUUAUGGGCUACCUUCACCUGUGUGACUGUGUUAGUUUUGUGCGGAUGUGGUUGAUUGCGUGUAUGAAAGUUAUCAUUUCCAGGACUCUGGAGAAAUCGAUGACACUUCAGAUGGUGAUCUACAGUGGGGCAAAAAAGUAUUUAGUCAGCCACCAAUUGUGCAAGUUCUUCCACGUA
ensembl:lncRNA